rnacentral:rRNA from 1 species
GAUGAACGCUGGCGGCGUGCCUAAUACAUGCAAGUCGAGCGAACGGACGAGAAGCUUGCUUCUCUGAUGUUAGCGGCGGACGGGUGAGUAACACGUGGAUAACCUACCUAUAAGACUGGGAUAACUUCGGGAAACCGGAGCUAAUACCGGAUAAUAUUUUGAACCGCAUGGUUCAAAAGUAAAAGACGGUCUUGCUGUCACUUAUAGAUGGAUCCGCGCUGCAUUAGCUAGUUGGUAAGGUAACGGCUUACCAAGGCAACGAUGCAUAGCCGACCUGAGAGGGUGAUCGGCCACACUGGAACUGAGACACGGUCCAGACUCCUACGGGAGGCAGCAGUAGGGAAUCUUCCGCAAUGGGCGAAAGCCUGACGGAGCAACGCCGCGUGAGUGAUGAAGGUCUUCGGAUCGUAAAACUCUGUUAUUAGGGAAGAACAUAUGUGUAAGUAACUGUGCACAUCUUGACGGUACCUAAUCAGAAAGCCGCGGCUAACUACGU